rnacentral:tRNA from 1 species
GGGCCGGUAGCUCAGGGGUAGAGCACCGGACUUUUAAUCCGGGUGUCGAGGGUUCGAAACCCUCCCGGCUCACCA